CACCUCCCACCUUUACCUGUGUGGGGUUAUGUCACAACUAACUCUCACUCUCUCUCUCUCUCUCUCUCUCUCUCUCUCUCUCUCUCUCUCUGUCUCUCUGUUUCUCUUUUCGUCUUUGUUGCCCCCUUUGCCCCCUUCCCCCACAGUAAACCCCACAUGGAACUGUAUUGGCCUGGUGUGGUCUACCAGGAUGUGAGCCUCAAAUCUAGCACAAUAGUAAUAGCUUUGGGUUAUUUUUUUUUUCUGCCCACAGCCAGGGGUUAUAGAGGUGAAUGACUCCAAAGUCCAUCCGCAACAAGCUGACAGUCCAUGGGACUCUACGCCAACUGUGAUGGCAGAAGACAAGACAGGGGAAGGUCACACAAUAGGUGUGGCAGAUCAUCACACGGAUGGACUUGCCUGGAGCAAUGGAGCCCUCUCAGUACCCGCCUGCAUGGGAUUGUUUGCAGCUGCCUGCAGAGACCCAAGACUGCUGGAGACACCCUGGAAAAGGCAUCUUAGUGUCCUGAAGCCCCUCCCAGGAAAGAGAAGAACACCCGGAAGGGGGGAGCUUGACAUCACUUAAUAAAGCCCGUAUAUAAAUAAGGAUUGCAUAGGUCUUCACUACUUGGAAGAGUUUGGCCUCUCUAAGAUGGAGUCAUGGCAGCGGUGAGCAGGAUAUGGGAAGCUGACAUCAUACUCAGUCACUGGACACAGCUAUGGGGCCCCUGGCUUCCUGAUGACCGAGAUCUUUCUUCCUCAUUAAAAGCGGGACUGGUCUCUGCUCUCCUUCUGUACUUUACAUGGCUGUCACCGCUAAUCUUCACAAAUUUAUCUUCAUUCUGAAGGUCUCGGAACUCCUGAGAUGUUUAGAUGUAUUUUAGCUGGCAGGAGGAUUAUUUUCCUUCAUUCAUUCCUCCUUACAAAAGGUUUUUCAUUUUGAGUUUUACCAUUUUAUUUGACCACACCGGCUCGUCUGUUUAACUGGAUGUGGUAUUUUUACAAGGAAGAACGGUCUGAGGGAAGGGGACUUGUUCCCGAAAGCGGGAUUGUGGAUGCUAGUCUUGGCUCCGUUUCUGGGGUUUAUUAAAGGAGUGU
rnacentral:lncRNA from 1 species